CCGAAAAGUUGGCAACUACAAGGGUUUAAAUAGAUGUUCCUUACUGGACUUAAAGAUUAAAAAGGCCUAGACAAAUGGCCAAAGUCUUAACCGAAAUAAAAAUAAAGAAAACAAUAGACCGGUCGCGGUUUGAGAUGUCCGGAUCAGAACUCAUAGUAUGCUUGCUUGUUGCCUCAUUAAAACCUUUCGGGAAAACCCAGUGGGACAAAACCUCGAUAAGGAAAAAGAGUACAACACAUACUACUCCUUCUGAUGGUCGGCUAUAUCUCUGAACCGGAAGCAAGUUGGUUGGAUGGAUUGAGUAUGAAGGUGGAAAUGGUCAGGCCGGCUUCAUUCUGGCCGAUGGAGGAGAACUGGCUCGAAUGGACAGGGUCUGGAACCUCUAGUGGUUCACCGGUGUCUUCCAGCUUCAAGUCAGACAACUCCUGGAUCAAUAGUUGCUUGAACCCGGUUUGUUCUUGUGCAAGCAACUCCUGGACAGCUUUGGCAAAUCCAGCUCUUAUAACUCUUGAACCGGACCUUGUGGUAGGGCCUUUGCGGAUAAUGGGAACCUCAGUCGUGGGUACUACAACAUCCCCUCCCUCUUGAACAGGUUCUGUCCUCAGAACAUCUCCAUCAUCUGCAAUAUAAGGAGACAAAUCAGAUACAUUGAACGUUCGGGAAACUUGGAACUCACCUGGCAGCUCUAGCCGGUAGGCAUUGUCAUUGAUCCGAUCGAGCACUCGGAAUGGUCCAUCUCCCCGUGGGGAUAAUUUGCUCUUCCUCUCCUCCGGAAACCGUUCUGGCCUCAUGUGGAGCCACACCCAGUCGCCUGGCUGGAAGAUAACUUCUGUGCGCCCCUUGUUGAGCUUAAUCCGGUUCCUUUCAGCCUUCUUCUCCAAAGUCUCCUUGACUUGCCGGUGCAUGUUCUUUACAAACUCAGCCUUUUUGUCACCACUCUGGCUGACUUGCAUGGCUGGGGGCAAUGCGGCUAGGUCCAUGGGCGUCUCUGGUCUAAAGCCAUACACGAUCUCAAAAGGGGAGAGGUUAGUAAUAGAGUGCCUUGCAUGGUUAUAAGCAAACUCAAUGAAAGGCAAACAACUCAGCCAGUUUUUAAGAUUCUUACCCACCGUAGCCCUCAAUAACUGAGAGAGUGUACGGUUUACUACCUCGGUCUGUCCAUCAGUCUGUGGAUGGCAAGUGGUCGAGAAAAGGAGCUUGGUUCCAAGCUUUUUCCACAAUGUCCUCCAGAAGUGGCUGAGAAAUUUGUGUCUCGGUCGGACACGAUGGUACGAGGCACUCCAUGUAAACGCACCACUUCCUUGAAGAAGAGAUCAGCGGUUUGGCUUGCGUCAUUGGUUUUGGAACACGGAAUGAAGUGUGCCAUCUUGGAGAACCUGUCCACUACAACAAAAAUAGAAUCCUUGUGUUCUAUCUUGGGCAAGCCCAGCACAAAGUCCAUAGACAGAUCGACCCACGGUGCAAUAGGAAUAGGUAAAGGCAUGUGUAAACCAUAAGGAUGCGACCUGGAUUUGGUUUUGAGACAGACAGUGCACUUGGAGCAAAGGCUCUCGACGUAGCGCCUCAUCCGGGGCCAAUAGAAGUGGUCGGACAGGACACUCAGAGUUUUGUCCCGACCGAAAUGCCCCAUCAAUCCACCCCCAUGAGCUUCUCUGGUCAGUAAAUCUCGCAUGGAACCAUGAGGGAUACACAGGCGUUUCUCCUUGAAGAGGAACCCGUCCUGCUGAUAGAAUGGACCCAUGGCUCCCUUAGCCGUGUUACUGUAAAGCUCAGAAAAAUCAGGGUCAGUUUCAUAAGACAUUUUGAGUUGCUCAAAACCCAUGAUCUUAGCCUCCAUGGUGGUAAUGAGUGUGUGGCGCCGGGAUAGGGCGUCGGCCACUAUGUUGUCCUUUCCCUUCUUGUACUUGAUCACAUAAGGAAAAGUUUCCACGAACUCCAGCCACCUAGCAUGCCUCUUCUUGAGUGUGGUCUGGCCCCUCAAAUGCUUAAGAGUCUCAUGAUCUGUAUGAAUAAUAAACUCUUUAGACAAAAGAUAAUGUUGCCAAGUUUCAAGCGACCUUACUAGAGCAUAUAGCUCUUUAUCAUAGGUGGGGUAAUUGAGGGCGGCUCCACUCAAUUUCUCACUGAAAAAGGCCACUGGCCGGCCUCCUUGGGUCAGCACGGCUCCUAUUCCUGUCCCUGAAGCAUCACACUCAAUCUCAAAAGGUUUAUCAAAGUUAGGAAGAGUUAGAACCGGUGCAUGUGUCAAGCUAUAUUUAAGCCUGUUGAAAGACUCCUCUUGGGCAGGGCCCCAAGCAAAGGUUACAUUCUUCUUGAUCACGGAGGUCAUUGGGGCGGCAAUGGUACUGAAGUCCUUCACAAAUCGUCGAUAGAAACUGGCCAGUCCAUGGAAGCUGCGGAUAUGUCCGAUCGUGGUUGGAGUCGGCCAGUCUUGUAUCGCCUUGAUCUUCUCUUCAUCAACCUUCAGUCCCUGUGAACUCACAACAAAGCCUAAAAAUACCAAUGAUCAGUGCAGAAUACACAUUUCUUAAGGUUAGCAUAAAGGCCUUCUUGCCUUAAGGCUUUCAAAACCUGUUCUAGGUGUCCCAUGUGUUCAGUUAAAGACCUGCUGUAAAUCAAGAUAUCAUCAAAGUAUACAACCACGAAUUUACCAAUGUAAGGUCGGAGGACCUCAUUCAUGAGUCUCAUGAAGGUGCUAGGGGCGUUGGUAAGGCCAAACGGCAUCACCAGCCACUCGUAUAGACCUUGCUUGGUCUUGAAGGCGGUUUUCCACUCAUCUCCUUCCUUCAUGCGGACUUGAUGGUAUCCACUCCUGAGAUCAAUCUUAGAAAACACAACAGACCCACUCAGUUCAUCCAACAUAUCAUCUAAUCUAGGUAUAGGGUACCGAUAUUUGAUGGUUAUGUUGUUGAUGGCUCGGCAGUCCACACACAUGCGCCAUGUCCCAUCUUUCUUAGGCACUAGUAGGACCGGGACUGCACAGGGGCUAAGGCUCUCGCGGAUGUAGCCUUUGUCCAUGAGAUCUUGGACCUGCCGUUCCAGCUCCUUAGCUUCCUCAGGGUUGACACGGUAAGCGGCUCGGUUUGGUAGUGGCGCGCCGGGUACAAGAUCGAUCUGAUGUUCUAUGCCACGGAUAGGGGGCAAUCCGGCAGGGAUCUCGUCAGGGAAGACAUCCUUGUAACGUCCCAUGAGGUCUUGUACUACGUCCGGUACUUCAGGAGCUUCUAAACCUGCAAAACAACCUUCCUUAAAGAUCAUUAGUAGCACCUGUGUCUCACGUUGUAAUGAUUUAAGCACUUGUCCGGAAGUCAUGUAAAGGUUAGUAUUACUUACCUGGCCGGAAUGCGUCAUUGCCUUCUGCAUAUCAUGAACUUCUUGAGGGCUGAGAGGUGCUAGGCUGUGCUUCUUGUUGUUGUGGACGAAACUGUAGAUGUUGGUGCGGCCAUGGUGAAGUGUCUCCUUGUCAAACUGCCACGGCCUUCCGAGAAGUAUAUGGCCUGCUUGCAUGGGCACAACAUCACACUUGACCUGGUCGUGGUACUUGCCAAUACUGAAGGACACAACAACUUGUUCGGCAAUCUUGAGCUCAGUCUCAUCAUUGAGCCAUUUGAGACGGUAUGGUCGAGGAUGGGCAGUUUUGACCAACCCUAGCUUAUCAACAAGAUACUUGCUAGCCACGUUAGUACAAGAUCCGCCAUCUAUGAUCAAACUACAUACCUUGUGAUCAACACUACAUCUGGUGUGGAAGAUGUUCUCCCGCUGGAUGGUCUCUGGGUCAAAGAGGGUGCUAAGGGCUCUCCGGGUCACUAGCAGCUCGCCUGUCUCCGGGUAGUCGGUUACUUCCUCAUCAGAGAUCGCUGCCGCGGCCUCUGCCUCAUCUUGGGAUUCAUACUCGCCAUCCCCCUUUAGGACCAUCACUCGUUUGUUUGGACAAUCCCGAGCAUAGUGGCCCUUGCCCUGACACUUAUAACAAAUGAUGUCACGAGUACGCAAAUUUUGGGCUUGAGUCUUACCCUGCUCCGGCUUAGAUGCAUUGGAUGAUUCAGCCGGGUUUGUCUUGAAUCGGCUCUCAAUCUCAAUCGUCUUGCCCUUGUCGCCUUGCUUUGAACCCGGUUGAGUCCAAGCAGGUUUGCUGCGGCUGGUACUGGCCGUCUUGCGCUUGAUGUGCUGCUCGGCUUGCGUAGCAAAGUGCAAUAGAUCGUUGAAGUCUUCAUAGUGUUGUCUCUCCACCUUGCGGGCAAUGCGGUCUUGCAGCCCUUCCAGGAAUUGGGACAUCAUUGUCUCCUCGGGCUCGUCGGUCUCAAGCUUAUUCCUAAGAGCCUCGAACUCCUCAAAGUACUCCUCCACAGUCUUAGUUCCCUGCGUAAGUUUACGAAAACGUUUUAGCACAUCACGCUGGUAGUAAGAUGGAAUGUACCUCGCGCGAAGCUUGGUCCGCAUCUCGGUCCAAUUACGCGCUCUCCACACUGGCCCGGACUUGGCAACGUCUCGAUCCCACCACGAAAGAGCAUUGUCCGUCAGCUGGGCUGCUGCUAGGGCAACCUUCUUGGCCUCACUAUAUUGGUAAUAGUCGAAGAUGUACUCCAUGCGCUUCUCCCACACGAUGUAGGCAUCCGGAUCAACCUUGCCGGCAAACGUUGGGGGAUGAAGCUUAAGUGCCUUGCCUCCCAACCAAGGCUCUUCCUCCUCUCGGUCUCGACCUCCCCUAUGGUCGCGGCCUCCUCCUACUUGGGCCCGGGGUCCUCGCGCGUUCCUCCUACCUCCCCGGUUCGGCCUCUCCUCGUCCUGACUGCGCGUAUCAUCGGUACUGUCCGCGUCCGAGUCAGUGUCAUGCGGGUCCGGCUGAUGCCUUCCUGGUGGUCGAGGUCCGUUGGGCCUGCCUCCCUGCCGUAGCUGAGCAAGCUCGGCUGUGAUAGUCCUAAGGCUCGCCCUCAGUUCUUCAUUGUCAGCUAAGAGCUGAGCGUUUAUGGCCGCUUGGUCUUGACCUACAUCUCCCAUAGUUCUCUGAGAAGAAACUCAAAGAAAGAUUAAAAGGCAAGAGGGGGUUAAAUAGUUGCUUGGGUCGGAUACUAUGAGUAUCGACCAAGGCAAAGAAUAAAUGCAAAAGUUAAGACAAAAAAAUCGAAUCAGGUUUGAAAAAGGAAAGACAGAAUUUUUUUUUUUUUUUGAAAACUUGGAGAACAAUCCGAAAAUUUUAAAAAUAAGGAAAGUGAAUAAAUUUUUUUUUUUUUGAAAACUUGGAGAACAAUCCGAAAAUUUUAAAAAUAAGGAAAGUGAAAAAAUAGAAAAAUCGAAAACUUGGAGAACAAUCCAAAAAAAUUAAGGAAAGUAAAUAUUUUUUUUUUUUUGAAUUGUGACGGCUAGGGUUCAGAAAGAACUGAGUUUCGCAGGAAACUUCAGCUCUGAUACCAAAAUGUUGUAGGCACGGGUCGGAGGGUCGGACGGACGGACGGACGCACGGACGGAUGGCCGUUCCGCGGUUCAGCUUUGCCUCGGACGGAUGGUACUGGCCGGCUCGUCUCUUGCUUGCGGUCGAACCUGAAACAGAUAGGAAACUUUAAUGAAUUUUCAACAGGAACAAGAACAGAAACAAGAUAGGAUUCUUUUGGUUUUUAUGGAAUUGGUUGAAUGAAAUCUAAAACAAAAGAUAAAGAAAGGAGUAGAUUGGCGGAUGGGAUCAGCUGCUGGACGUAUGUCUCUCUCAGCUAGAUGCCUAGGUCGGACAGAAAGAUAGGUAUGGAUCCGGCUCUUGCUGGACGUAUGUCUCUCUCAAGAUUCGGACAAGGAAUGGAAUGGAUCGAAGGACGCCACAAAGAACAAUGGAUCGGCUCUUUGAUAUGUCACACGGCUGCUCUCAAUGUUUCACACAACUGAAAGACUUAGGGUUUCCUUUGCUAAAGCAAAUCGAUUUCAUAAAAGACUUAGCCGAAAAGUUGGCAACUACAAGGGUUUAAAUAGAUGUUCCUUACUGGACUUAAAGAUUAAAAAGGCCUAGACAAAUGGCCAAAGUCUUAACCGAAAUAAAAAUAAAGAAAACAAUAGACCGGUCGCGGUUUGAGAUGUCCGGAUCAGAACUCAUAGUAUGCUUGCUUGUUGCCUCAUUAAAACCUUUCGGGAAAACCCAGUGGGACAAAACCUCGAUAAGGAAAAAGAGUACAACACAUACUACUCCUUCUGAUGGUCGGCUAUAUCU
rnacentral:lncRNA from 1 species